rnacentral:rRNA from 1 species
UACGUAGGGGGCGAGCGUUGUCCGGAUUUAUUGGGGCGUAAAGAGCGUGUAGGCGGCCAGGUAGGUCUGCUGUGAAAACUCGAGGCUCAACCUCGAGACGUCGGCGGAAACCAUCUGGCUAGAGUCCGGAAGAGGAGAGUGGAAUUCCUGGUGUAGGCGGUGAAAUGCGCAGAUAUCAGGAAGAACACCCGUGGCGAAGGCGGCUCUCU